rnacentral:rRNA from 1 species
AUGUUGCUAUACAUAUCGGCAACACAUCAGGUGGUGAGCGCCGUGCUCGUCGUCGAACGAGAGCAGGACGGGCACAAAUUCCCACUUCAAAAACCAGUAUACUACGUAUCUACUAUUCUCACACCAUGCAAAUCCCGGUACCCCCAUUAUCAAAAGAUAGCAUACGCGGUCUUCAUGACAUCCCGAAAGCUACGACACUACUUUCAAGAGUGUUCAAUCACGGUGGCCUCUGAAGUACCACUGAAUGAUAUAAUAAACAACCGCGAUGCCACGGGCCGGAUUGCCAAAUGGGCUAUCGAGCUACUUCCAUUCGACAUAACAUACAAGCCACGUCGAGCCAUCAAAUCCCAAGUAUUGUCUGACUUCGUCGCCGAAUGGACAGAGGCCGAACUCCCUAAAGAGUACGACACAUAUUCCAAUUGGGUUAUGUAUUUCGACGGCUCCAAAAUGUUGGCGGGUUUGGGAGCGGGCAUCGUGUUAACGUCCCCAACUGGAGAUGUCGUCCCAUAUGUACUCCAAAUAUUAUACACAGACUCCAACAACGCAGCCGAAUACGAGGCCUUAUUACACGGUCUUCGGAUGGCCGUAUCCAUGGGCAUACAACGCCUGGAGGUGCGCGGGGACUCAAACCUCACAAUAUCUCAAAUAAAUUGA